rnacentral:rRNA from 1 species
UCUGGUUGAUCCUGCCAGUAGUCAUAUGCUUAUCUCAAAGAUUAAGCCAUGCAUGUCUAAGUACACGAUUUUAUAUAUCGAAACCGCGGAUGGCUCAUUAUAACAGCUAUGAUUUGAGAGAUAUUAUCAUUUGCCACAAGAUAACUGUGGUAAUUCUAGAGCUAAUAUUUUAUAGAAUGCCGUGACUCACGAAGCGGCGGAUUUAUUAGAUCAAAACUAACCUGUCCUAGACAGUUAUUUGAUGACUCUGGAUAACUUUACUGAUCGUACGACCUCUGUGUUGACGACGAAUCUCUUGAAAUGGCUGACCUAUCAACUUUCGAUGGUAAGAUCAAAGCUUACCAUGGUUGUAACGGGUAACGGGGAAUCAGUGUUCGAUUCCGGAGAGGGAGCCUGAGAAACGGCUACCACAUCCACGGAAGGCAGCAGGCGCGAAAAUUACCCAAUGCCGGUUCGGCGAGGUAGUGACAAUAAAUAACAAUAUGGACCCUAGUGGUUUCAUAAUUGCAAUGAGAUUAUUUUAAAUACUUUUUCAAGUAUCAAUUGGAGGGCAAGUCUGGUGCCAGCAGCCGCGGUAAUUCCAGCUCCAAAAGCGUAUAUUAAAGUUGUUGCAGUUAAAAAGCUCGUAGUUGAAAUUGAGGUAGAUGUAAUUUGAAAUCUUAUGAUUGAUUAUUACUAUACCUUUUCUUCGUGUAUAUUAGUGAGGGACUUAAUUGUUUUUUACUAGUAACCGAAAUGUUUACUUUGAAAAAAUUAGAGUGCUUAAAGCAGGCUUACGCUUGUAUAUUGUUGCAUGGAAUAAUAAAAUAGGACUUUGGUUUUAUUUUGUUGGUUUUCUUAACUAAAGUAAUGAUUAAAAGAGACUGCCGGGGGCAUAUGUAUGCUGGUGCUAGAGGUGAAAUUCUUAGACCAUCAGCAGACAAACUACUGCGAAAGCAUUUGCCAAGAAUGUUUUCAUUAAUCAAGAACGAAAGUCAGAGGAUCGAAGACGAUCAGAUACCGUCCUAGUUCUGACCAUAAACUAUGCCAACUGACAGUUAGUAAAGAUGAAUUAUUUCUUCUUACUAGAAGUCACCGGGAAACCAAAGUCUUUGGGUUCCGGGGGAAGUAUGGUUGCAAAGCUGAAACUUAAAGGAAUUGACGGAAGGGCACCACAAGGAGUGGAGCCUGCGGCUUAAUUUGACUCAACACGGGAAAUCUCACCCGGUCCGGACACUGUGAGGAUUGACAGAUUGAUAGCUCUUUCUUGAUUCGGUGGGUGGUGGUGCAUGGCCGUUCUUAGUUGGUGGAGCGAUUUGUC